UAGAAGUAUGAAAGAGGGUGGGCCUGUUGUCAUGGGGGAGGUGGUGGCGCUUGGUGGCCACUGGCGGCCGAGGUAGAGGCAGUGGAGCUUGAGUUGGUCGGGGGCAGCGGCAGAUUUGAGGCUUAAGCAACUUCUUCUGGGGAAAAGUGCCAGUGCAGCUGCUGUUACAACUCAAGGUCUUGGUCUAUAUCCAUAGGUUGGAAUAUUGGUGGGCCAGCAAUCCUCAGACACCUCACUUAGGACAGAUGAGGAAACUGAGGCUUGGUGAAGUUACGAAAGUUGUCCAAAAUCACACAACUUGUAAAGGGCACAGCCAAGAUUCAGAGCCAGGCUGUAAAAAUUAAAAUGAACAAACUACGGCAAAGUUUUAGGAGAAAGAAGGAUGUUUAUGUUCCAGAGGCCAGUCGUCCACAUCAGUGGCAGACAGAUGAAGAAGGCGUUCGCACUGGAAAAUGUAGCUUCCCAGUUAAGUAUCUUGGCCAUGUAGAAGUUGAUGAAUCAAGAGGAAUGCACAUCUGUGAAGAUGCUGUAAAAAGAUUGAAAGCUACUGGAAAGAAAGCAGUUAAAGCAGUUCUGUGGGUCUCAGCAGAUGGCCUCAGAGUUGUGGAUGAAAAAACUAAGGACCUCAUAGUUGACCAGACGAUAGAGAAAGUUUCUUUCUGUGCCCCAGAUAGGAACUUUGAUAGAGCCUUUUCUUACAUAUGCCGUGAUGGCACCACUCGUCGCUGGAUCUGUCACUGCUUCAUGGCUGUCAAGGACACAGGUGAAAGGUUGAGCCAUGCAGUAGGCUGUGCUUUUGCAGCCUGUUUAGAGCGCAAGCAGAAGCGGGAGAAGGAAUGUGGAGUGACUGCUACUUUUGAUGCUAGUCGAACCACUUUUACAAGAGAAGGAUCAUUCCGUAUCACAACAGCCACUGAACAAGCAGAAAGAGAGGAGAUCAUGAAACAAAUGCAAGAUGCCAAGAAAGCUGAAACAGAUAAGAUAGUCGUUGGUUCAUCAGUGGCCCCUGGCAACACUGCUCCAUCCCCAUCCUCUCCCACCUCUCCUACUUCUGAUGCCACGACCUCUCUGGAGAUGAACAAUCCUCAUGCCAUCCCACGCCGGCAUGCUCCAAUUGAACAGCUUGCUCGCCAAGGCUCUUUCCGAGGAUUUCCUGCUCUUAGCCAGAAGAUGUCACCCUUUAAACGCCAACUAUCCCUACGCAUCAAUGAGUUGCCUUCCACUAUGCAGAGGAAGACUGAUUUCCCCAUUAAAAAUGCAGUGCCAGAGGUAGAAGGCGAGGCAGAGAGCAUCAGCUCCCUGUGCUCACAGAUCACCAAUGCCUUCAGCACACCUGAGGACCCCUUCUCAUCUGCUCCGAUGACCAAACCAGUGACAGCGGUGGCACCACAAUCUCCUACCUUCCAAGCUAAUGGCACUGACUCAGCCUUCCAUGUGCUUGCUGCUAAGCCAGCCCAUACUGCUCUAGCACCCGUAGCAAUGCCUGUGCGUGAAACCAACCCUUGGGCCCAUGCCCCUGAUGCUGCUAACAAGGAAAUUGCAGCCACAUGUUCGGGGACCGAGUGGGGUCAAUCUUCUGGUGCUGCCUCUCCAGGUCUCUUCCAGGCCGGUCACAGACGUACUCCCUCUGAGGCCGACCGAUGGUUAGAAGAGGUGUCUAAGAGCGUCCGGGCUCAGCAGCCCCAGGCAUCAGCUGCUCCUCUGCAGCCAGUUCUCCAACCUCCUCCACCCACUGCCAUCUCCCAGCCAGCACCACCUUUCCAAGGGAAUGCAUUCCUCACCUCUCAGCCUGUGCCAGUGGGUGUGGUCCCAGCCCUGCAGCCAGCCUUUGUCCCUGCCCAGUCCUAUCCUGUGGCCAAUGGAAUGCCCUAUCCAGUCCCUAAUGUGCCUGUGGUGGGCAUCACUCCCUCCCAGAUGGUGGCCAACGUUUUUGGCACUGCAGGCCACCCUCAGGCUGCCCACCCCCAUCAGUCACCCAGCCUGGUCAGGCAGCAGACAUUCCCUCACUACGAGGCAAGCAGUGCUACUACCAGUCCCUUCUUUAAGCCUCCUGCUCAGCACCUCAACGGUUCUGCAGCUUUCAAUGGUGUAGAUGAUGGCAGGUUGGCCUCAGCAGACAAGCAUACAGAGGUUCCUACAGGCACCUGCCCGGUGGAUCCUUUUGAAGCCCAGUGGGCUGCAUUAGAAAACAAGUCCAAGCAGCGUACUAAUCCCUCCCCUACCAACCCUUUCUCCAGUGACUUACAGAAGACGUUUGAAAUUGAACUUUAAGCAAUCCCUAUGGCUAUGUAUCUUGUCCAUACCAGACAGGGAGCAGGGGAUAGAGGUCAAAGGAGCAAAACAGACUUUGUCUCCUGAUUGGUACUCUUUUCACUAAUCCCAAAGGUCCCAAGGAACAAGUCCAGGCCCAGAGUACUGUGAGGGGUGAUUUUGAAAGAUGUGGGAAAAAGCAUUCCUAGAGAAUAGCUGCCUUACAACUAGGCUAAAGAAGUAAAGGAAAUGUUGCUUUCCGCACCCCCUCUUCCCUCAUCCCCUUACAAAUCUCUGGCAACAGAGAGGCAAAGUGUCUGAACAAGACUCUAUAUUCAGAGCACAUUUACUGAAAUACAAAACACAACAGGAAGCAAAGCCGUCUCCCUUUGUUUUUCAGGCCAUUCACCUGCCUCCUGUCAGUAGUGGCCUGUAUUAGAGAUCAAGAAAGAACAGGUUUGUGCUCAGGCUAGGGACGAGAGAGGCAGGCUAUGCUGCCAGAAUUCCCAGGAGGGCAUAUCAGCAACUGCCCAGCAGAGCUAUAUUUUGGGGGAGAAGUUGAGCUUCCAUUUUGAGUAACAGAAUAUUAUAUAUAUCAAAAGCCAAAAUCUUUAUUUUUAUGCAUUUAGAAUAUUUUAAAUAGUUCUCAGAUAUUAAAAAGUUGUAUGAGUUGUAAGUAAUCUUGCCAAAGGUAAAGGGGUUAGUUGUAAGAAAUUGUAUAUAAGAUUGAUUUAUCAUUGAUGCCUACUGAAAUAAAAAGAGGAAAGGCUGGAAGCUGCAGACAGGAUCCCUAGCUUGUUUUCUGUCCUUCAUUGUAAGUAGCACAUUGCAACAACAAUCAUGCUUAUGACCAAUACAGUCAUUAGGUUGUAGUUUUUUUUAAAUAAAGGAAAAGCAGUAUUGUCCUGGUUUUAAACCUAUGAUGGAAUUCUAAUGUCAUUAUGUUAAUGGAAUCAAUCUAAAUAUGCUCUAUAGAGAAUGUAUCUUUUAUAUAUUGCUGCAAUUUCCUUAUGUUAAUCCUUUAACACUAAGGUAACAUGACAUAAUCAUACCAUAGAAGGGAACACAGGUUACCAUAUUGGUUUGUAAUAUGGGUCUUGGUGGGUUUUGUUUUAUCCUUUAAAUUUUGUUCCCAUAAGUUUUGUGGGGAUGGGGAUUCUGGUUUUAUUAGCUUUGUGUGUGUCCUCGUCUCCCAAACCCCCUUUCGGUGAGAACAUCCCCUUGACAGUUGCAGCCUCUUGACCUCGGAUAACAAUAAGAGAGCUCAUCUCAUUUUUACUUUUGAACGUUGGCCUUACAAUCAAAUCAAACAUUUUGCUUCACAGAUUCCUACUUAAGGAAGAGAGGGGCUCCUCAUUUUCACCAUACAGAGCAAGCUGGUCAGCUUUAUACAGGUGCAGAUGAACCUUCACAGCCAGAUUCGCAUGCUGGCCUCAGGAGGGCUUCAAGGUUCAACAUCUCGAUGACCUCUAUGAACUAUUCUGGACUGGGGCUGGAACUAGCCUUCGUCCCUACUGCCAGAUGGGCUGAGCAUGAGGCUGGAAACGUGAACAGCUGGCACAGCAGAAGCUGGAGUAAUACUCGUUGCCACAGAGCUGGGCCUGUAGGAUCAAAUCACAGUUGGCCAGCUCUGGCUGGUCGAUGCACUCCCUGCCAGGGUCCCUGGGCUGGGCGGUGGGCGCUGCAGACCAACGGGGGAAAGAGAAGGUGGUGAGGAAGCUCUGUGUAUGCUGAAAAUUCUCACCUGCCAUUUCAUUUCCUCAAAGGAACACAGCAUUAUAACUGCCAGAUUCAAAAUGAAGUGCACUUACCCUGUAACCUUUUAACAACCAUACAUACAAACUCUAUGAGGGAUGAUGAUUUCUACCUGUUUGUUGACCUCACUUCGACAUGCAGUGGUCCUCCUGUUAUUAUUUGUGGCCUCAGCCCAGUGAACAGCUCUUCCCAGACUCCCAAAUAUUUAUUGACUGGAUGAUUAAACAUCUCUUGAAGUUAA